GGGGNCUUAGCUCAGCUGGGAGAGCGCCUGCUUUGCACGCAGGAGGUCAGCGGUUCGAUCCCGCUAGNCUCCA
rnacentral:tRNA from 1 species